ACGAACGCUGGCGGCGUGCUUAACACAUGCAAGUCGAACGGUGAAGCGCCUUCCUUUUUGGUGGGUGUGGAUGAGUGGCGAACGGGUGAGUAACACGUGAGUAACCUGCCCCCUUCUUCUGGAUAACCGCAUGAAAGUGUGGCUAAUACGGGAUAUUCUGGGUCUGUCGCAUGAUGGGUCUGGGAAAGAUAUUGUUUCGGUGGGGGAUGGGCUCGCGGCCUAUCAGCUUGUUGGUGGGGUGAUGGCCUACCAAGGCGGUGACGGGUAGCCGGCCUGAGAGGGUGGACGGUCACACUGGGACUGAGACACGGCCCAGACUCCUACGGGAGGCAGCAGUGGGGAAUAUUGCACAAUGGGCGCAAGCCUGAUGCAGCGACGCCGCGUGAGGGAUGGAGGCCUUCGGGUUGAGAACCUCUUUCGCCAGUGAAGCAGGCCUGCCUCGUUUGUGGGUGGGUUGACGGUAGCUGGAUAAGAAGCGCCGGCUAACUACGUG
rnacentral:rRNA from 1 species